rnacentral:lncRNA from 1 species
CUCAUCACACAGAAAACCCAGCUCAGAGUUGGCUUAAAUCCCCCAGUAAGGAAGAGCAGAAAGAAAUCACACAGAUCUGGGAUGGAGUACAAGAGAGAAGAGACUGAAUUGUGAUAGCUGGAACCAUGGAUGAGAGAACAGCACACACCCAUCAGAAAAUGUGCCUGGAGCACCUCCUGGGUGGCAGCCUGUUGCAGCAGCACUCAUGAGUCUGGGCACAUACAUUCUGGGAUAGGUGUCCAGGUAUAUUCUGCUAUCAAUAUUGCUAGAAAGUUACCAAAACACCCUGAGCCUCAAUUUCUUUAUUGGUUAUGUAUGAUCUCAGGAGAUGUGUACAGGUUCAAGUCGACAAGGCAUGGACCUGUGAUGGUCAAUACUGAGUGUCAACUCCAUUGGAUUGAAGGA